GAUGAAGAACGCAGUGAAAUGCGAUAAGUAAUGUGAAUUGCAGAAUCCAGUGAAUCAUCGAAUCUUUGAACGCACAUUGCGCCCGCCAGCAUUCUGGCGGGCAUGCCUGUUCGAGCGUCAUUUCAACCCUCGACCUCCCUUUGGGGAAGUCGGCGUUGGGGACCGGCAGCACACCGCCGGCCCUGAAAUGGAGUGGCGGCCCGUCCGCGGCGACCUCUGCGUAGUAAACCAACUCGCACCGGAACCCCGACGUGGCCACGCCGUAAAACACCCAACUUCUGAACGUUGACCUCGAAUCAGGUAGGACUACCCGCUGAACUUAAGCAUAUCAAUAAGCGGAGGA
rnacentral:misc_RNA from 1 species